rnacentral:lncRNA from 1 species
GUACGGGAGUCUAGGAUCUUGCCCAAGAACUCGUGGCAGAAGUCAAGUGGAUCUCUCACAUUAGAGGAGUACAUCCCAAAGAAUCGUGGAGAAUUUCUGGAAAAUGGAACAUCGAGACGACAUUCACAAUGCCGACCUCUCUCUCUGCACCCUCUUUACCGUUCACUCUGCCAACACCAAGGGAAAUCUGGCUGCAGUAAGAAUGAAGCAAACGGCUACGUGAACAGAGAGCAGAGAGGCUGGGCCCCGCGGGCCGUGAGCGCAGUAAUAGUCGCUGACGUCCUCCCGCAACGGUGCUCACCGGAGCCCUGGUCCCGCAAGGAACAGUCCUGGAGAAUUCAGACUGCGCUGGGCCUGGUGGCAGCAGGUGGGACGGUGCUGAUGCCGCUCACUGUGCCGCCAGGGCUGCUGUCCCCACCCUGGGGACCUCCUCC